rnacentral:rRNA from 1 species
GACGAACGCUGGCGGCGUGCUUAACACAUGCAAGUCGAACGGAAAGGCCCUGCUUUUGUGCGGUGCUCGAGUGGCGAACGGGUGAGUAACACGUGAGUAACCUGCCCUUGACUUUGGGAUAACUUCAGGAAACUGGGGCUAAUACCGGAUAGGAGCUCCUGCUGCAUGGUGGGGGUUGGAAAGUAUCGGCGGUUGGGGAUGGACUCGCGGCUUAUCAGCUUGUUGGUGGGGUAGUGGCUUACCAAGGCUUUGACGGGUAGCCGGCCUGAGAGGGUGACCGGCCACAUUGGGACUGAGAUACGGCCCAGACUCCUACGGGAGGCAGCAGUGGGGAAUAUUGCACAAUGGGCGGAAGCCUGAUGCAGCAACGCCGCGUGCGGGAUGACGGCCUUCGGGUUGUAAACCGCAUGCGCCUGUGACGAAGCGUUAGUGACGGUAAUGGGUAAAGAAGCACCGGCUAACUACGUG